rnacentral:tRNA from 1 species
UUAACUGAAACCAAAAUAGAGGUAUAUUACUGUUAAUAAUACAAUUGAAUUACAUUCCAGUUAAG